rnacentral:rRNA from 1 species
UACGUAGGUGGCAAGCGUUUAUCCGGAAUUAUUGGGCGUAAAGCGCACGUAGGCGGCUUUGUAAGUUAGAGGUGAAAGCCCGGGGCUCAACUCCGGAAUUGCCUUUAAGACUGCAUCGCUAGAAUUGUGGAGAGGUAAGUGGAAUUCCGAGUGUAGAGGUGAAAUUCGUAGAUAUUCGGAAGAACACCAGUGGCGAAGGCGACUUACUGGACACAUAUUGACGCUGAGGUGCGAAAGCGUGGGGAGCAAACAGG